rnacentral:rRNA from 1 species
GACGUACUGCGCGAACGUUAUUCGGAAUCACUGGGCUUAAAGGUGCGCAGGCGGCCCGUCAAGCCCGAAGUGAAAUGCCCCGGCCUAACCGGGGACGUGCUUCGGGGGACUGGCGGGCUCGGCGGGCUAGGGGGGUCUGUGGAGCUCCCGGUGGACGGUGAAAAAUGUGUGAGAUCGGGAGAAACGCCGGUGGCGAAAAGCGACGAGACUGGGCUGCCGACGCUCAUGCACGAAAGCCAGGGGAGCGAAA